AACGAACGCUGGCGGCAUGCCUAACACAUGCAAGUCGAACGAGACCUUCGGGUCUAGUGGCGCACGGGCGCGUAACGCGUGGGAAUCUGCCCUUGGGUUCGGAAUAACAGUUAGAAAUGACUGCUAAUACCGGAUGAUGACUUCGGUCCAAAGAUUUAUCGCCCAGGGAUGAGCCCGCGUAGGAUUAGCUUGUUGGUGAG
rnacentral:rRNA from 1 species